rnacentral:rRNA from 1 species
ACGGGCCCGCACAAGCGGUGGAGUAUGUGGUUUAAUUCGAUGAUACGCGAGGAACCUUACCUGGGCUCGAACGUAAGAUGACUGUAGGUGAAAGCUUACAUCUCUUCGGAGCAUUUUUACGAGGUGCUGCAUGGUUGUCGUCAGCUCGUGCCGUGAGGUGUCGGGUUAAGUCCCAUAACGAGCGCAACCCUACCUUUAGUUGCCAUCAGGUAAUGCUGGGGACUCUAAAGGAACUGCCUACGCAAGUAGUGAGGAAGGCGGGGAUGACGUCAAAUCAGCACGGCCCUUACGUCCAGGGCUACACACGUGCUACAAUGGCCGAUACAGAGGGCAGCUACCUGGUGACAGGAUGCAAAUCUCCAAAGUCGGUCUCAGUUCGGAUCGGAGUCUGCAACCCGACUCCGUGAAGUUGGAUUCGCUAGUAAUCGCGCAUCAGCCAUGGCGCGGUGAAUACGUUCCCGGGCCUU